GACGAACGCUGGCGGCGUGCUUAACACAUGCAAGUCGAACGGUAAGGCUCCAGCUUGCUGGGGUACACGAGUGGCGAACGGGUGAGUAACACGUGGGUGACCUGCCCUGCACUUCGGGAUAAGCCUUGGAAACUGGGUCUAAUACCGGAUAGGACCGCACCGUGAGGGUGUGGUGGAAAGUUUUUUCGGUGUGGGAUGGGCCCGCGGCCUGUCAGCUUGUUGGUGGGGUAAUGGCCUACCAAGGCGGCGACGGGUAGCCGGCCUGAGAGGGUGGACGGCCACAUUGGGACUGAGACACGGCCCAGACUCCUACGGGAGGCAGCAGUGGGGAAUAUUGCACAAUGGGCGGAAGCCUGAUGCAGCGACGCCGCGUGGGGGAUGACGGCCUUCGGGUUGUAAACUCCUUUCACCAUCGACGAAGGGUUUCUGACGGUAGAUGGAGAAGAAGCACCGGCUAACUACGUG
rnacentral:rRNA from 1 species